rnacentral:SRP_RNA from 1 species
UAAGAGGCUAGACCGGGGUGCCCGUCCUGCCCUGUAACCAUAAAUGGACGUAACGAUGGGGUCGAAGCAGGAAAAGAGGUCUUUACACCAGGCAUCAGCCCUGGUCUCAACAAUGAGAUCUUGUCCUUUUGGAUCAGUCUUAUUGGGAACCGCGCCAGGUCAGGAAUGAAGCAGCGCUAACCAGCAGGAUUGGUGCUAAAAGGGUAGCAGGAUCGAGAAGAGAGCAGGAUCACUGAUGCCUGGAAGUGGGAUCCAUUUUUCUGCAUGCCUCUUA